rnacentral:rRNA from 1 species
AUUGUACGCUGGCGGCAGGCCUAACACAUGCAAGUCGAGCGGAUGAAGGGAGCUUGCUCCUGGAUUCAGCGGCGGACGGGUGAGUAAUGCCUAGGAAUCUGCCUGGUAGUGGGGGAUAACGUCCGGAAACGGGCGCUAAUACCGCAUACGUCCUGAGGGAGAAAGUGGGGGAUCUUCGGACCUCACGCUAUCAGAUGAGCCUAGGUCGGAUUAGCUAGUUGGUGGGGUAAAGGCCUACCAAGGCGACGAUCCGUAACUGGUCUGAGAGGAUGAUCAGUCACACUGGAACUGAGACACGGUCCAGACUACUACGGGAGGCAGCAGUGGGGAAUAUUGGACAAUGGGCAAAAGCCUGAUCCAGCCAUGCCGCGUGUGUGAAGAAGGUCUUCGGAUUGUAAAGCACUUUAAGUUGGGAGGAAGGGCAGUAAGUUAAUACCUUGCUGUUUUGACGUUACCAACAGAAUAAGCACCGGCUAACUUCGUG